rnacentral:rRNA from 1 species
UCAACUUGAGAGUUUGAUCCUGGCUCAGAACGAACGCUGGCGGCAGGCCUAACACAUGCAAGUCGAGCGAGACCUUCGGGUCUAGCGGCGGACGGGUUAGUAACGCGUGGGAACGUGCCCUUCUCUGCGGAAUAGCCACUGGAAACGGUGAGU